AUCUCGGCACCCCCGCUUUGCCAGAGCCCCCUGGCCAGCAUGUCUUCCGCACACUUUAACCGAGGUCCUGCCUACGGCCUGUCUGCUGAGCUGGCCCAGAAAUACGACCACCAGCGUGAGCAGGAGCUGAGAGAGUGGAUCGAAGGGGUGACAGGCCGCCGCAUCGGGAGCAACUUCAUGGAUGGCCUCAAGGACGGGAUCAUUCUUUGCGA
rnacentral:lncRNA from 1 species